rnacentral:misc_RNA from 1 species
CCUCCGUUGGUGAACCAGCGGAGGGAUCAUUACCGAGUUUACAACUCCCAAACCCCUGUGAACAUACCAUUUGUUGCCUCGGCGGUGCCUGCUUCGGCAGCCCGCCAGAGGACCCAAACCCUUGAUUUUAUACAGUAUCUUCUGAGUAAAUGAUUAAAUAAAUCAAAACUUGCAACAACGGAUCUCUUGGUUCUG